CAAACAUUUCCCACUUUAAAACAUAGUUAUCAGGUCUAUGGACUGCUCUUUUUAUUGUCAAUUCCUUGAGUGGAGACCCGUGAGGUCUCAGGCUCAAAUUCCAGCGGAGAAAAAAACACUAGAUUAUUUCUUCCCAUCUGAUUAAGCCUUGGUGGACAGAGUUAUCGGGUACAUGUGGUGGUGGGAGGUAACAGGUACGAGGUAACAGAUACCUGGUGGAAUUAAUCGAGAUGCGUACAAGUUGGCCCGGAUGGGGCAUGUCAUGGUGGUAUUGUUUCCUUUUUUAAAAAAAAAUUUGAGGUCGACUGGUUGAGUUGGGCUUAACUUUGUUACAUAAAAGCACAAUUAGGCAUCUGGAGCUACAAAGAACACUUACUGCAUAACUGGAGAAUCUUUAUGUCUGCGGAAAAUGUUCAGGGAUCUCACUGCACUUGUUAAAAUAGUUCUCCCCCAGUUUCUGUAUAAAAUUGGGGAAUCAACAGUGCACUAGGAAGGUGGUUUGCAUACCUGCUGAUGCCAGAUGGAGAAUAAACUUGGAAAUAGAUAUCUAUAGAGAAGAGAUGUAAAAACUUGUGGAUUUGAGAGGGUACAUUUUCAUACACCCUCCUCCAUUAGGAAGAGAUGCUAGAACCAGUGUUCAACUGCUCCCGUCGUUGCAGAGUGUGGGCAUCUGUGCAUUGAAGAUGUGGAGAGUGUUGUUAAAUAAGGUGGGAGAUUUAAGGAUGUCACUUUGCUCACCACCAUAAUGAAACAUAUUCGAAAAAUGGGUUCGGAUUGAGAGAAUUAGAAGGAAAGUUGGUGAAAAAGUAAAGAUGAGCAAGAGGGUACAACUGUGUCUUUCAAUAUUUAGAUUUAUUCCAGCAUGUCAUGAUCGUUUCUUGCCUUACUCAGGCCCAUGGUGUUAAGCUCAACAAAUGAAAAUGAUUAGAUUGGCUGAUAUUCAUGUAUUUCUAUGAUGUUGUAAAGUGCACAUAAUUUUCGGUUAUAAUUUGAAUUCUCCUUAUUUGCUUUAUCGAAGCAUUUUAGUUUUC